UGUGAGAGAAAGAAUAACAGGGAACACAUUUGUUUGUUUCCUUUGGGACCUAGGACAAAUAUAUUGAAUAUUCUGGUCCUUUCCCCUCUAGCCACUACUUCCUUCAUUGGACUGCAAGGUUUUCCUGUUUGGAAAAGUAAUGGAGUCCAGUCAACUUCAUUGAUCUCCAAGGACUAUCAAAAUUAUAAAACUUGCCGUGGAGCUCUGACAUGCCAGAAGCCGCUAGAAAAAGAAGUUUGACAUUCAGAAACUUACCAAGAGGUUCUACUCUUUGGAUAGAGACCAAAAUAAUACUUUGAAAUACUUUUUUAAAGUAAAUGAUGUCAUCAGCAGAAACACAGAACUUGUUGGCUACAAGGUAGAAAGCAUAUGUGCCAUGAACCAAAAAGGUAGGAAGGUGUAUUUUCAAUUUUAAGAUUCUUCUCUUAAGAUGAAAAGAGCUGCAAUUGUUUUUGUAAGUAAGAAAGCAAAAUAUCUGUUCUUGAAUUAUCUAAGGAUGAGUCAGAAACUUAAAGCCAAAGAAAAGUAAUAAAUAAUGACAACAGAUGUUUGUAAACCUGUGCUCCCCUGUUCAGUGUUUGUAUGUGUUGUUUUGCCUUGAUGUGCUGUCAGCAGCCUCUCACCUGGGAGUAGUGAUAUCUUAUCAAAGCCCAAACAGUUCCUCUUCACAACAGACAGAUAAUAGUCCCUUUCAAUUUAUCAUACUGGAAGUCUAAAAGAACCAUGGGAACGAUUGGUCAGGUGACAGCUUGAUGGACAGUUUGACAGCCCUUAAAGCAUCAUGGGAAAUGGUUGUCACCUGAUUUUCAGAGCGACCAGAGAGAUAACCUUCAGAAUGAUGAGGGAAACAAAAAUCUGAAUAUGUGUAUAAGAUCCAGUGGCAGCCUCAGUGCUCACUUAAGUGAUAAUAGGUGUGAAUUUAGAUGACUCAAAAUGUUGUUAUCAAACCUGAGGGGUUUUCCAAGUCCAGAAGUGCCCAUCAUCUCUUUAGAUGCCUUUUACAUUUUUAUUCAAAUGUCAUUUCAAAAAUAUAUACAUAAUAUAGGGCUUUCAUUUUAAAGAGACACAGUCAAACGUACUAAAUAUUUAACCACAUGUUAAAUAUAUUAGCUGACCAUUAAUAUUCUCCGGAUUUCAAGUCUGCUUUCUUUUUGACAAACUCCUUGUACACCAUAUCCUAAAUAUAGUUUGCAUACUGCAGUACUGAUUAAGAAAGCUAUUAUAGACAAAUCAUGUAGAUCAAAUUUUACAGAUGGGACUCAGACUCAUGAAGACCGGUGUAGUGUUAGUGCAAAAAAACAAAAUAAAAGAAAUAAAUUUGAAGAUCUCAGGCACAAAAACCUUUGAAUCUAUAUUAAUUCACUCAUGCAGCCAACAAACAUAAAUUGAGCACUUACUACAUGCAAGGGUCUCUGCUGGACAUAUAAAGACGAGAAAAAUAAAAGCCCAGUUUUCAACAGCUCACAGCUGGUGAUGGCAAAAGAAAUCAUCAGUCCAAAUCCACUGCCUUUUAAUUGGUAAGGCUUACACACAACUGCUGACAACAGCGUCCCUUCCGUAUUUUCUCUUGUAUAUUGUAUAUGCUGUUUACAAUAGUUUUGUGGUCUGACCUAAAGACAUACUCCCUGGAAAUUGGGAUUCCACAGGAAAAAAAUAAUAAGGAUUCAGUGUUUAUACAUUUAUUGAGUGCACUCCAACUUUGAAGAAUGAUUUCAGAAACGGUAAGGAAGUAAAGAGACUUGAGAUGAAGUUCCCACAAUUGAGUAGGACCCUAAACCUCACAAACUCUCUGUUCCUUAGAUAUUUGAGCUACUUUUUUUUCCAGAGCAUACACUCAAAAACUUAAUUUUAAAAUCAUAUUGAAUAUACAGAAAAUCUAGAAUAAUACAAAAAACUCCUUUAUACUUUUAUUUCAAAAUUUAUUAAUCAUUAACAUUUUAUCACAUUUGUUUUUAUCAUUCCAGUUCUCUCUCUCCUUCUUUCCUUCCCUUAUCCCCAUUUAGCUAUCUAUAUAUUUUCCAGUAAUGUUAAUAGGGAGAAAUGUGAACAGAUUUGUAUCUAAUUUGUCUUUAUACUUCUUCACAAAGCCUGGCAACUGCCUUGUAUAUAUGUAAUAAAUAUUUAUGAAUGAAUGAAUGAUGAAUAAUAUUCAACCUAGAUCUUGUAUUUGAUCUUUUAGACUUGUGUUUAUACAUACAUAUAAAAUGUACUUAUUAUUUUUCUAAACAUAUGUAAUAUUUCAUAAAAUACUAAUCUACUCUCCAAAACUGUGUCUGAUCAAUGGGUCUAAUAAACAAAUAACAUAAAAAUUUUUUUUAUUGCA